rnacentral:Y_RNA from 1 species
GGCUGGUCUGAGUGCAGUGGUGUUUACAACUAAUCAAUCACAAACAGUUACAGAUUCCUUUAUUCCUUUUCCACUCCCACUGCUUCACUUGGCUUGCCUUGA